CCUCGUGAACUCAUCUCCGGGGGUAGAGCACUGUUUCGGCAAGGGGGUCAUCCCGACUUACCAACCCGAUGCAAACUGCGAAUACCGGAGAAUGUUAUCACGGGAGACACACGGCGGGUGCUAACGUCCGUCGUGAAGAGGGAAACAACCCAGACCGCCAGCUAAGGUCCCAAAGUCAUGGUUAAGUGGGAAACGAUGUGGGAAGGCCCAGACAGCCAGGAUGUUGGCUUAGAAGCAGCCAUCAUUUAAAGAAAGCGUAAUAGCUCACUGGUCGAGUCGGCCUGCGCGGAAGAUGUAACGGGGCUAAACCAUGCACCGAAGCUGCGGCAGCGACGCUUAUGCGUUGUUGGGUAGGGGAGCGUUCUGUAAGCCUGUGAAGGUGUACUGUGAGGUAUGCUGGAGGUAUCAGAAGUGCGAAUGCUGACAUAAGUAACGAUAAAGCGGGUGAAAAGCCCGCUCGCCGGAAGACCAAGGGUUCCUGUCCAACGUUAAUCGGGGCAGGGUGAGUCGACCCCUAAGGCGAGGCCGAAAGGCGUAGUCGAUGGGAAACAGGUUAAUAUUCCUGUACUUGGUGUUACUGCGAAGGGGGGACGGAGAAGGCUAUGUUGGCCGGGCGACGGUUGUCCCGGUUUAAGCGUGUAGGCUGGUUUUCCAGGCAAAUCCGGAAAAUCAAGGCUGAGGCGUGAUGACGAGGCACUACGGUGCUGAAGCAACAAAUGCCCUGCUUCCAGGAAAAGCCUCUAAGCAUCAGGUAACAUCAAAUCGUACCCCAAACCGACACAGGUGGUCAGGUAGAGAAUACCAAGGCGCUUGAGAGAACUCGGGUGAAGGAACUAGGCAAAAUGGUGCCGUAACUUCGGGAGAAGGCACGCUGAUAUGUAGGUGAAGCGACUUGCUCGUGGAGCUGAAAUCAGUCGAAGAUACCAGCUGGCUGCAACUGUUUAUUAAAAACACAGCACUGUGCAAACACGAAAGUGGACGUAUACGGUGUGACGCCUGCCCGGUGCCGGAAGGUUAAUUGAUGGGGUCAGCGCAAGCGAAGCUCUUGAUCGAAGCCCCGGUAAACGGCGGCCGUAACUAUAACGGUCCUAAGGUAGCGAAAUUCCUUGUCGGGUAAGUUCCGACCUGCACGAAUGGCGUAAUGAUGGCCAGGCUGUCUCCACCCGAGACUCAGUGAAAUUGAACUCGCUGUGAAGAUGCAGUGUACCCGCGGCAAGACGGAAAGACCCCGUGAACCUUUACUAUAGCUUGACACUGAACAUUGAGCCUUGAUGUGUAGGAUAGGUGGGAGGCUU
rnacentral:rRNA from 1 species